rnacentral:rRNA from 1 species
GAUGAACGCUGGCGGCGUGCCUAAUACAUGCAAGUCGAGCGAACAGACGAGGAGCUUGCUCCUUUGACGUUAGCGGCGGACGGGUGAGUAACACGUGGGUAACCUACCUAUAAGACUGGGAUAACUUCGGGAAACCGGAGCUAAUACCGGAUAAUAUUUCGAACCGCAUGGUUCGAUAGUGAAAGAUGGCUUUGCUAUCACUUAUAGAUGGACCUGCGCCGUAUUAGCUAGUUGGUAAGGUAACGGCUUACCAAGGCAACGAUACGUAGCCGACCUGAGAGGGUGAUCGGCCACACUGGAACUGAGACACGGUCCAGACUCCUACGGGAGGCAGCGGUAGGGAAUCUUCCGCAAUGGGCGAAAGCCUGACGGAGCAACGCCGCGUGAGUGAUGAAGGUCUUCGGAUCGUAAAACUCUGUUAUUAGGGAAGAACAAACGUGUAAGUAACUGUGCACGUCUUGACGGUACCUAAUCAGAAAGCCACGGCUAACUACGUG